AUCCUUUUGUAGUUCAUAAGCGUGAUGAUUGGGUGUUCACACCAUUGUGUGACACGUGCCACCCUUAAACCUUGUUAUGAUGCCGGCAUAUGACCCGUCUGAUG
ensembl:snoRNA